CAGUCGUACCGGCGGAUAAUCAGCCUUUCGGGUGCGAUUCUGUGGGGCGUGAGGAGCUUAACCGCCUUCAUGUUUUGCAUAUUCGUGCACAUUUGGUGUACUUGUCCGUGUGGUGGGUUAACAUCAAUUUCGGUCGUCAUAAAAUGAUUGGAGGAAUGUAGCUUUGGUCUCGUAUUGAAGUGUUAUAGCCUUUGGUAGAUGUGAUGUUUGAGACCGAGGAUUGCAACGGAUACCCUUCGGGGCUAGUUCGUCUGAUCUCUGAUACGUUGCCUUGAUGUUGAAGCUUGCUUAUGAUGUUAGGGUAUUACGGUCAAAGGUUAGAACGAAUUACAUUCGUUAAGGA
rnacentral:rRNA from 1 species